CGACACUGUGCUCUGGAAAGUGGCUUGUGAAAAUUCAAUGGAAGAGAACGGUCAGGUACUCUGAGGCCUUCCAUGUCAAUUCCAGGACUGCUUCUAGGGCCUCAUCAUCCAGUUGCAUCACGCUCCUUCUGAGGACUCCAGUUUGGCAUGUUUCCUAUCACACAGUGCCCUCCACACCCAGCUGCCCCGGGACCUCUGACCUCCUCACCUCUCCUCACUUCCCCUGUGCAUCUCUGGUGCCCCUGCCCUGCUGUGCCGGAUCUCCAUUUUCUAACCAUGUACCAGCGCAGGAAACUGUCAGUGACCUUCUCAGGCUGGAUGGAUGCGCUCCUCUAUCUUCAUCACGCGCAAGUCCGCGUCGUUGGUGACACCAUCUCUGCUCCUGAACUGUCCUUUCCAGCUCUCAUCUUUCUGCA
rnacentral:lncRNA from 1 species